UGUGGGGUAGCUUAGUUGGUAGAGCACUAUAAAAAAUAAGUUUUGAAAAAGACUUUAACAGCAAUAUUAGGUUAUAGAAUCCAUGGGUUCGAAUCCCAUCCCCACAU
rnacentral:tRNA from 1 species